rnacentral:rRNA from 1 species
CCUACGGGUGGCAGCAGUGAGGAAUAUUGGUCAAUGGCCGGAAGGCUGAACCAGCAAUGCCGCGUGAAGGUCAGUGCCCUAUGGGCGUUAAACUUCUUUUGUGCGGGAGCAAUAAUGGUCACGUGUGGCCAGACGAGAGUACCGUCCGAAUAAGCAUCGGCUAACUCCGUGCCAGCAGCCGCGGUAAUACGGGGGAUGCAAGCGUUAUCCGGAUUUAUUGGGUUGAAAGGGUGCGUAGGCUGGGAAGGAAGUCAGCGGUGAAAUGCCACCGCUCAACGGGGUGAAGUGCCAUUGAUACUGCCUGGCUGGAGUGCGGAUGGCGUGGGAGGAAGGUGUGGUGUAGCGGUGAAAUGCAUAGAUAUCA